rnacentral:rRNA from 1 species
UACGGGAGGCAGCAGUGGGGAAUAUUGCACAAUGGGGGAAACCCUGAUGCAGCGACGCCGCGUGCGGGAUGAAGGCCCUAUGGGUUGUAAACCGCUUUCAGCAGGGAAGAGGCCGCAAGGUGACGGUACCUGCAGAAGAAGCCCCGGCUAACUACGUGCCAGCAGCCGCGGUAAU